AUGGCCGAGCGGUCUAAGGCGCUGAUUUAAGGCACCAGUCUUCGGAGGCGUGGGUUCGAAUCCCACU
rnacentral:tRNA from 1 species